UACGUAGGUGGCAAGCGUUGUCCGGAUUUACUGGGCGUAAAGAGCGCGCAGGCGGUCGAUCAAGUCGAGUGUGAAAGCCCCCGGCUCAACUGGGGAGGGUCAUUCGAUACUGAUCGACUCGAAGGCAGGAGAGGGUAGUGGAAUUCCCGGUGUAGUGGUGAAAUGCGUAGAUAUUGGGAAGAACACCGGUGGCGAAGGCGGCUCUCUGGACCGAGACUGACGCUGAGGCGCGAAAGCGUGGGGAGCAAACAGG
rnacentral:rRNA from 1 species